rnacentral:tRNA from 1 species
ACCUGGCUGGCUCAGUGGGUGGAGCAUACGACUCUUGAUCUUGAGUUUGUGAGUUCGAGCCCCAUGCUGAGUG